CUGCCCUAUGCAGGGGGAUAACCCGGAGAAAUCCGGCCUAAUACCGCGUAACACCUUUUGGGAGCAUUCCCGGGAGGUUAAAGGAGAGAUCCGGCAUAGGAUGGACAUGCGUCGCAUUAGGUAGACGGCGGGGUAACGGCCCACCGUGCCGACGAUGCGUAGGGGUUCUGAGAGGAAGGCCCCCCACACUGGUACUGAGACACGGACCAGACUCCUACGGGAGGCAGCAGUGAGGAAUAUUGGUCAAUGGCCGAGAGGCUGAACCAGCCAAGUCGCGUGAGGGAAGAAUGUCCUAAGGAUUGUAAACCUCUUUUGUCGGGGAGCAAAAAGGCUCUGCGGAGUCGUAUUGAGAGUACCCGAAGAAAAAGCAUCGGCUAACUCCGUGCCAGCAGCCGCGGUAAUACGGAGGAUGCGAGCGUUAUCCGGAUUUAUUGGGUUUAAAGGGUGCGCAGGCGGCGUGUCAAGCAAGCGGUAAAAUAGCGGGGCUCAACCCCGUCGAGCCGUUUGAACUGGCGCGCUUGAGUUCAGGCGAGGUAGGCGGAAUUCGUGGUGUAGCGGUGAAAUGCAUAGAUAUCACGAAGAACUCCGAUUGCGAAGGCAGCUUACCAGUCUGCGACUGACGCUCAGGCACGAAAGUGUGGGUAUCGAACAGGAUUAGAUACCCUGGUAGUCCACACAGUAAACGAUGA
rnacentral:rRNA from 1 species